rnacentral:lncRNA from 1 species
UGGAACUAUUAUUUUUUCAGCUAAAACUGUCCUUCCUCUCAUAGGUGCUAAGAUCUUUAAACUAGCUGAGCCCAAAGACACAAGAAUAGAAAACAAAAGUUUUGUCAGGAGUUUGUUGGAGGUAACAUUGAGAAACGCCAUUCCAACUUCCACCCCUGAUCUUUGUUAUGGGCUGAAUUUUGUCCCCCUCAAAAAUUUAUGUGUGGAAGUUCUAACCCCCAGUGCUUCAGAAUGUGACUGUGUUUGAAAAUAGGUUUUUUACAGAGGAAUCAAGUUAAAAUGAAGUCAUUAACAUGGGCCCUGAUCCAGUACAACUGGUGUCCUUAUAAGAGGAGGAAAUUUGGACACAGACACAUAAAAAAGGCAGACGACGUGAAGACACGUAGAAAGGAUGGCCAUCUGCAGGCCAAUGAGAGAGAUCUGGAACAGAUCAUUCCCUCAUGUCACUCAGAAGGAACCAACUCUAUCGACACCUUGAUCUCAGACUUUUAGGCUCCGGAACCGUAAGAAAAUAAGUUUCUGUUGUUUAAGCCCCCCAUAUUUGAUAUUUUGUUAUGGAAACCUGAGCAGAUGAAUAUAAUAACCAACAUUAAAUUCCCGUUUCCUUAAAUGUUCCAAUUUUGGCAAGUGUUUCUGGUUCAAAUUCCUAUAUAGGCCAGUAUUAUUAGUUGCAGACAACAGUAUCUACUCUAGGUAGUUUAAACAGAAAGUGAUUAACUUUGGAGUAUUAAGUAGUGUAUCAAAUUGCCAGGAAGGCCAGGGAGCUAAAGUUUGGAUAUUAUACAAUUAGGAACAACAUAGUAUAAAGAAAUUCUAAACCACCUUGGACUGGUUUUAAUGGAAAAUUUCCUGUUGCCGUUGCUUGCUACCAGACAUCUAAGAUAUUAGCGACUUGAGAGUAGAACUUCAGCCACAGUUGCUCCAGGAGAUCCAAGUUCCUCUUCUCUUUGUUGGAAGGUCUGAUCUCCACAUGCAUCUGCUGCCUCCCAUUAUUUGGUUCUAUACUACAAGUCUCUAAAGGGUAUUUCUACAAGAGAAUCUGGGUGAUGGAGAUAUUAGUUUUCUGGUACAUGAAGGCAUAAACUAGAAAGAGCCGGAAGUGGGUGCUGAAUGGACCAAUUUGUAUCUAUUACAACUUCUACGGUCUAAUGAGAAAUAAUUGUGAAAACAUAAAGACGGAAGAUUCUGAGUCUGGUCUUUUGUUAGCUUGUUUGAAUACUCAAAAAGACCCUUUGUUUUGGAAAUGUAAUCCAGUUAUUAAAUGAGUCUCUGUUGGGAAACAAUCUAUUAUUCUAACUCCAUUCUAUGGGAGACACAAAAAAG